rnacentral:lncRNA from 1 species
UGUGGCACUUCCCCCCUCACUCUCCUGCUGCCAUGUAAGCCGUGCUUUGCUUCCCCUUCACCUUCCACCAUGAUUGUAAGUUUCCUGGGCCUCCACAGCCAUGCAGAACGACGGGGUCUCACUGUGUCACCCAAGCUGGAGUGCAGUGGUGUGAUCACAGCUCGCAGCCUUGAACUCCUGGCCUCGAGUGAUCCUGUUGCCCUGGCCUCCCCAAGGAUUACAGGUUCUAUGUGCAGGUGCUGUGGUCCCCUGGACUGUCCGGCAGUAGCUGGGGCCUCAGUGGGACCUGGUGCUGAAGCAGACCUCUACUGUUGGCCUCAAGAACACUGAGGGACCAUUGAGAGAGCCCUGGGUGGUGGGGAGUCGGAGCUGCCCCCCAGCUGGUCCCCCCUCUGGAAUGUGCAGCCUUUAUUCCAGUGAUGUUGAUGAGCUGAUCCGACCUUCUGCCUCCACACAUCACCUCUCGGUUGCCCAGUUUAAUUCCCUAAGGAAGGUCACAGGGUCACCAGCAGGGACAGAAGCUCUUUUGAAACUAAACCCUCAAUCUCACCUCUCCUCUUCUCUUCUUUCUCUCAACACUGGGUUUACACACAUCUUGAGGCCAACACCAGCUGUAGUAAAAGUCAAGAUCGAACACCUUCUAGCCACACCAUCUAGACAUAUCUGACUGCACCUGCCCUGGACACCCUGCCCAAGGGGGAAACCCACUGGAUUCUCUAUCACCUAGAAAUAAAACUCGAAUGGAGAGAAAUGAAGAGGGAGUGACCUCAGUCCAUGGAGCCAAGUCAAUUAAUCUGAUCCUUCUAAGGCUUUGCUGUCAGUAGAGGAACCCCUUGCCUCUUAUGGCUGCUGCACACUUGAAUAGGGCUAGUGCAAAUUGAGAUGUGCUGUGAAUGUACAAGAGGCAAUGGAUUCAACCAUUUAGUGUGAAAAAUGAAUGUAAAAUUUCACAUCAAUAAUAUUUUACUUUGAUGACUUGUGGAAAUGAUAACACUUUGGAUGUAUCGGGUUCCAUAAAAUAAUAUUACAGUAAAUUUCACCUAUUUCUUUUUAGUUUCUAAAAUGUGUUUCCUAGGAAUUUAAAGUUAGGGUCAUGUAUAUGGGCCCAUGUAUAUGGCCCAUUAAUAUGCAGCCCAUGUUGUAUUUGUUGGGCUGCACUGCUCUAGAGAGAAGUCCAUGGGGACCUAGUCUAGAGAUUCCCAGAGCUAACCUGAGGCCUUGGUGAUUCACCUCUUUUGAUACUAUAAACUGCUCCACUAUCCUUUCAAUACCACCCUCUCUUUCUCCUAGAGAGUCUGACAUGAGUCCUGGCUCUGCCAUUUACUAACUGGAUGACUGUGGGCAAGUUUCCUAACUCCCUGGCCUCAGUUUUCUUAUCUGUACAAUAGGGAUAGUAAAGACACCAAUCAUAUGGUUGUUGUGGGAAUUAAAUGGGUUAAUAUAUGUGAAGGGCUUACAGCCCAGAUUUAAUAAAUGAGCCUAUCAUCAUCUUAUUCGUCAUUUCCUUAAGCUGCCAAAGUCAGUUUUGCUGCUGCUUGAAAUGUAAAGACGUUUUUCUUAUAGCCCCAUUAGUUUUCUCAUUCAUAGAUAUCAAUAUCAUCCUUUUUUGUUUGUUUGUUUGUUUUCUUGAGACAGGGUCUUGCUCUGUCACUCAGGUUGGAAGUACAGUGGUGCAAUCAUAACUCACUGCAGCCUUGAACUCCUGGGCUCAGGGGAUCUACCUGCCUCAGCCUCUCAAGUAACUAGGACUAUAGGUGUGCACCAACAUGCCUGGUUAAUUUUUUAUUUUAUAGAGAAGGGGUCUUGAUUUGUUGCCCAGGCUGGUUUGGAUUCCUGGCCUCAAGCAUCCUCCUGCCUUGGCCUCCCAAAGAGCUGGGUUUACAGGUGUGAGCCACUGUGCCCAGCCUAAUAUGAUAGAUAUUGAGGGCCAUGACUGUUUUUCAAAGGCAACUUCAGGUAAUAAGAAUAUUGAGCUCAGAAGUCACCCUGUUUAAGUUCAUGUCCAAGCUCCACCAUUCCGUGAAUAACUUUAGGUGAGUCACUCAUUAACCAGGACCUCAGUUUCCUCCUGUGUAGAAUGAAGGAGGGUCACCAUACCUCACAGGCUUGAGUGAGUCUGCAGUGGGACCACAUAUAGAAAACACUUUGCACAGUGUCAGGAAACAGGACACAUCUGACAAAUGCUCAUACUUAUUACACUACGAUGAGAGUCUCAAGGGCAGGGACCAGGCUCUCACUCAUGUUUAUAGCCCAGAACCUGCCAUACAUAUGUGGUCAAUCAAUGUUGACAGCCCUUGGAAACAUUCAGCUUCUCCCUCUCUGAACAAAGCCCUUCAUGUUCUCUCUGGAGCUUACCACCAGAAACCUGGGCCACCCACCCACCGACCACUCAGAGCUCAUAGCCUCAUCUUCUCAAUCCCAGAUGAAGUUGAUGAAUUGCUUGGAUGACAAUUGUUACUUUAUUCUCCUCAAUCAAACUGAGUUGAAAUUUCUUGGCUAGGAAGACUUCAAUGUAAUUAUCAUGGUAAUGACUGACAUUGACAUUUAUUUAGUGUUACCAGUAGGAAGUUCACAUUAAUUGAGGCCUUGCCUCAUGCCACAGGCAUUAUCAGAUGACAGCCUAACUAUGACCCUUGAUGUUGGGG